rnacentral:rRNA from 1 species
ACUCUGCUUCGGGGUCCGACUAAUCCAUGCGAGUCAUGGGGCUCCCUUUUGGGAGCACCGGCGAACGGCUCAGCAACACGUGGCUAACCUACCCUCGGGUGGGGGAUAACCUCGGGAAACUGAGGCUAAUCCCCCAUAGGGGAGGAGGUCUGGAAUGAUCCCUCCCCGAAAGGCAGUAAGCCGCCCGAGGAUGGGGCUGCGGCGGAUUAGGUAGUUGGUGGGGUAAUGGCCCACCAAGCCUACGAUCCGUACGGGCCCUGAGAGGGGGAGCCCGGAGAUGGACACUGAGACACGGGUCCAGGCCCUACGGGGCGCAGCAGGCGCGAAACCUCCGCAAUGCGCGAAAGCGCGACGGGGGGACCCCGAGUGCCCUGCCUCUGGCAGGGCUUUUCCGGAGUGUAAACAGCUCCGGGAAUAAGGGCUGGGCAAGUCCGGUGCCAGCAGCCGCGGUAAUACCGGCGGCCCAAGUGGUGGCCACUGUUAUUGGGCCUAAAGCGUCCGUAGCCGGCCCGGUAAGUCUCUGCUUAAAUCCCGCGGCUUAACCGCGGGGCUGGCAGAGAUACUGCCGGGCUUGGGACCGGGAGAGGCCGGGGGUACCCCAGGGGUAGCGGUGAAAUGCGUUGAUCCCUGGGGGACCACCUGUGGCGAAGGCGCCCGGCUGGAACGGGUCCGACGGUGAGGGACGAAGGCCGGGGGAGCAAACCGGAUUAGAUACCCGGGUAGUCCCGGCUGUAAACUCUGCGGACUAGGUGUCGCGUGCCCUUCGGGGGCACGCGGUGCCGAAGGGAAGCCGUUAAGUCCGCCGCCUGGGGAGUACGGUCGCAAGACUGAAACUUAAAGGAAUUGGCGGGGGAGCACUACAACGGGUGGAGCCUGCGGUUUAAUUGGAUUCAACGCCGGGAAUCUCACCAGGGGCGACGGCAGGAUGAAGGCCAGGUUGACGACCUUGCCAGACGCGCCGAGAGGUGGUGCAUGGCCGUCGUCAGCUCGUACCGUGAGGCGUCCUGUUAAGUCAGGUAACGAGCGAG